CAGGCCUAACACAUGCAAGUCGAGCGGAGAUGAGGUGCUUGCACCUUAUCUUAGCGGCGGACGGGUGAGUAAUGCUUAGGAAUCUGCCAUUUAGUGGGGGACAACAUUCCGAAAGGAAUGCUAAUACCGCAUACGUCCUACGGGAGAAAGCAGGGGAUCUUCGGACCUUGCGCUAAAUGAUGAGCCUAAGUCGGAUUAGCUAGUUGGUGGGGUAAAGGCCUACCAAGGCGACGAUCCUUAGCUGGUCUGAGAGGAUGAUCAGCCACACUGGGACUGAGACACGGCCCAGACUCCUACGGGAGGCAGCAGUGGGGAAUAUUGGACAAUGGGCGAAAGCCUGAUCCAGCAAUGCCGCGUGAGUGAUGAAGGCCUUAGGGUUGUAAAGCUCUUUUACCCGGGAUGAUAAUGACAGUACCGGGAGAAUAAGCUCCGGCUAACUCCGUGCCAGCAGCCGCGGUAAU
rnacentral:rRNA from 1 species